UAUUGGGUUCUACAGAUUUAAAGAUUAGAGAAUCAAAGUUUGUAACAAACACACAGAUCCUUUAAACCAUUGAUUCAAAAUUUAGGAUUUGAAUCUUUGAUUCAAACGUGAACCUGCGGCGGUUAGCAUUUCAAAUUCACUAAAUUUGGUCAAUAGGAUAAUUCCUGGAAGAGGACCAGCCUGGGUAGAUAAUAUUUGUCUAGGAGUUUACUUCACCAUUAUCUGCGCACUAGCACCUUGGUUCUCAUAUUUCGAUUGGGAAGCUGAAGCCAGUUGCGAACAGUUAUCAAAAUCAGACUUGUUUUCAACCAUAGCCUCCGAUAUCAUUAUUCCUUUGCAACUUGUUUUAACUUUGCCUGCUGUGACCUUUUUGAUGAAGAAUAGCAAGGAUUUUGUGUUUGAACAAAAAUUGCCGAAACAGCAGAGACCAUUACUUUUCCUCGCGGUUGUAACUUCACAGAUCGUUUUUACCGUUUACAACAUCGUUUCAAUGGAACCAUUCUACAGAGAAGGGUAUAAAUUGCUAUUUUUUAUCGGCUUUGGAAUUGUAUUCUCGUUUGUAAGACUCGUAUCUACUUUUUUAAUCGGUGCAAUUGCGUCAUAUCUUCGAGACAAACUAGAUCGUGCAUAUUCUGCAGGAAACCUUGAUCAAGUAAUGGCAGAUUUUACCAGAUUCAAGAAUGGAGUUGAACCCUUGAUAUUUCUAGUUUUUUCAUCUCAAACUAUUCUGCUCAACAUAACUAUCUAUCAAACUAUCACUGGCUAUCUGCCUUAUGCAAUCUUGGCUUGUAAUGAAAUGCUUGAGUUGGCCUAUAUAGCCUAUGUCCUAGAUGAUGUUUAUGUGAGUUUGAAAUCACUAUUAAUUGAUCUGCAAAGUGGUGAUAUUGAAAAUCCAGAAAACUGGAAAAGGCUUAUUUCCUGUAUUCAGGCGGAAGGACCUUUCACAGCUUUCGGAAUGUUUAAUGUUGAAAGAUCUACACUCACCAGUAUUUUUGGAACUAUUCUCACAUAUAUUAUCAUCCUUCUGCAGUUCAAGUAAAGUGACUAAAAAGUCUCACUGAAAAAUCUGGUUCUGAAGCAUCGGGCCGACUUUUAGGUAGUAAGUAAGUAAGACUACACACGAAAAAACAGGACAGUACACCAAAUAAAUUUUCCUUUCAAGUGAUAUAAAUGUGAAUCUCCAACCCCACCAAAUUGCCAAAAGGGAGAGUCCACAAAAGAAGAAAAUGCAGAAUGAAUUUUAACUUUAUCAAUUUAUUUAUUUAUAAUUUUU